CGAGUGGCGAACGGGUGAGUAACACGUGGGUAAUCUGCCCUGCACUUCCGGAUAAGCCUGGGAAACUGGGUCUAAUACCUGAUAUGAACUCCUGCCGCAGGGUGGGGGUUGGAAAGUUUUUCGGUGCAUGAUGAGCCCGCGGCCUAUCACCUUGUUGGUGGGGUAAUGGCCUACCAAGGCGACCACGGCUAGCCGGCCUGAGAGGGUGAUCGGCCACACUGGGCCUGAGACACGGCCCACACUCCUACG
rnacentral:rRNA from 1 species